GAUGAACGCUAGCUACAGGCUUAACACAUGCAAGUCGAGGGGCAGCAUGAAUAUUGGCUUGCCAAUAUUUGAUGGCGACCGGCGCACGGGUGAGUAACACGUAUCCAACCUUCCGGUUACUCGGGGAUAGGCUUUCGAAAGAAAGAUUAAUACCCGAUGUUGCGUAUCUUUCUCCUGAAAGAUACGCCAAAGGAUUCCGGUAACCGAUGGGGAUGCGUUCCAUUAGGCAGUUGGCGGGGUAACGGCCCACCAAACCUUCGAUGGAUAGGGGUUCUGAGAGGAAGGUCCCCCACAUUGGAACUGAGACACGGUCCAAACUCCUACGGGAGGCAGCAGUGAGGAAUAUUGGUCAAUGGACGUAAGUCUGAACCAGCCAAGUAGCGUGAAGGAUGACUGCCCUCUGGGUUGUAAACUUCUUUUAUACGGGAAUAACAUGAGGUACGCGUACCUUAUUGCAUGUACCGUUAUGAAUAAGCAUCGGCUAACUCCGUGCCAGCAGCCGCGGUAAUACGGAGGGUGCGAGCGUUAUCCGGAAUUAUUGGGCGUAAAGAGCUCGUAGGCGGUUUGUCGCGUCUGUCGUGAAAGUCCGGGGCUUAACCCCGGAUCUGCGGUGGGUACGGGCAGACUAGAGUGCAGUAGGGGAGACUGGAAUUCCUGGUGUAGCGGUGGAAUGCGCAGAUAUCAGGAGGAACACCGAUGGCGAAGGCAGGUCUCUGGGCUGUAACUGACGCUGAGGAGCGAAAGCAUGGGGAGCGAACAGGAUUAGAUACCCUGGUAGUCCAUGCCGUAAACGUUGGGCACUAGGUGUGGGGACCAUUCCACGGUUUCCGCGCCGCAGCUAACGCAUUAAGUGCCCCGCCUGGGGAGUACGGCCGCAAGGCUAAAACUCAAAGGAAUUGACGGGGGCCCGCACAAGCGGCGGAGCAUGCGGAUUAAUUCGAUGCAACGCGAAGAACCUUACCAAGGCUUGACAUGUUCUCGAUCGCCGUAGAGAUACGGUUUCCCCUUUGGGGCGGGUUCACAGGUGGUGCAUGGUUGUCGUCAGCUCGUGUCGUGAGAUGUUGGGUUAAGUCCCGCAACGAGCGCAACCCUCGUUCCAUGUUGCCAGCACGUCGUGGUGGGGACUCAUGGGAGACUGCCGGGGUCAACUCGGAGGAAGGUGAGGACGACGUCAAAUCAUCAUGCCCCUUAUGUCUUGGGCUUCACGCAUGCUACAAUGGCCGGUACAAUGGGUUGCGAUACUGUGAGGUGGAGCUAAUCCCAAAAAGCCGGUCUCAGUUCGGAUUGGGGUCUGCAACUCGACCCCAUGAAGUCGGAGUCGCUAGUAAUCGCAGAUCAGCAACGCUGCGGUGAAUACGUUCCCGGGCCU
rnacentral:rRNA from 1 species